GUGCUCACUUGGCAGCACAUGCACUAAGAUUGGAACAGUAUAGAGAUUAGCAUGGCUCCUACACAAAAAUGACGUGCAAAUUCAUGAAGCAUUCCGUAUUGUU